rnacentral:rRNA from 1 species
AUUGAACGCUGGCGGCAUGCUUUACACAUGCAAGUCGAACGGUAACAGGCCGCAAGGUGCUGACGAGUGGCGAACGGGUGAGUAAUGCAUCGGAACGUGCCCAGUCGUGGGGGAUAACGCAGCGAAAGCUGCGCUAAUACCGCAUACGAUCUCUGGAUGAAAGCGGGGGACCGAAAGGCCUCGCGCGAUUGGAGCGGCCGAUGUCAGAUUAGGUAGUUGGUGGGGUAAAGGCCCACCAAGCCAACGAUCUGUAGCUGGUCUGAGAGGACGACCAGCCACACUGGGACUGAGACACGGCCCAGACUCCUACGGGAGGCAGCAGUGGGGAAUUUUGGACAAUGGGCGCAAGCCUGAUCCAGCAAUGCCGCGUGCAGGAUGAAGGCCUUCGGGUUGUAAACUGCUUUUGUACGGAACGAAAAGCCCUGGGUUAAUACCCUGGGGUCAUGACGGUACCGUAAGAAUAAGCACCGGCUAACUACGUGCCAGCCGCCGCAGUAAGAC